rnacentral:rRNA from 1 species
GACGAACGCUGGCGGCGUGCUUAACACAUGCAAGUCGAACGGAAAGGCCCUGCUUUUGUGGGGUGCUCGAGUGGCGAACGGGUGAGUAACACGUGAGUAACCUGCCCUUGACUUUGGGAUAACUUCAGGAAACUGGGGCUAAUACCGGAUAGGAGCUCCUGCUGCAUGGUGGGGGUUGGAAAGUUUCGGCGGUUGGGGAUGGACUCGCGGCUUAUCAGCUUGUUGGUGGGGUAGUGGCUUACCAAGGCUUUGACGGGUAGCCGGCCUGAGAGGGUGACCGGCCACAUUGGGACUGAGAUACGGCCCAGACUCCUACGGGAGGCAGCAGUGGGGAAUAUUGCACAAUGGGCGGAAGCCUGAUGCAGCAACGCCGCGUGCGGGAUGACGGCCUUCGGGUUGUAGACCGCUUUCGCCUGUGACGAAGCGUGAGUGACGGUAAUGGGUAAAGAAGCACCGGCGAACUACGU